UGAAGAGUUUGAUCCUGGCUCAGAACGAACGCUGGCGGCGUGGCUAAAGCAUGCAAGUCGAACGGACCCCUUGAAGAGUAAUCCGAUUGGGAGUUAGUGGCGAACGGGUGAGGAAUAAAUGGAUAACGUGCCCCGAACUCUGGGAUAGCGGCGGAACUUCGGUUCCUUUGCGAAAGUGCCGGUAAUACCAGAUGAUCCCGUGCGGUCUCAUGAUCGUGCGGGCAAAGUUCAGGCGGUUUGGGAGCGGUCCAUUUCCUAUCAGCUUGUUGGUGGGGUAAAGGCCUACCAAGGCAACGACGGGUAUCGGGUGUGAGAGCACGACCCGACACAUCGGGACUGAGACACUGCCCGGACACCUACGGGUGGCUGCAGCAACGAAUAUUCCGCAAUGGGCGCAAGCCUGACGGAGCGACGCCGCGUGCAGGACGAAGUCUUUCGGGAUGUAAACUGCUGUCAGGGGCUAGAAAUACAUUGAUCAGCCCCAAAGGAAGCAUCGGCUAACUCCGUGCCAGCAGCCGCGGUAAUACGGAGGAUGCGAGCGUUGUUCGGAAUCACUGGGCUUAAAGCGCAUGUAGGCGGAAUGUAAGGUGUCAUGUGAAAGCCCCCGGCUCAACCGGGGAAUUGCUAGGCAAACCGACAUUCUUGAGGCAAGUAGAGGCGACUGGAACCUUUGGUGGAGAGGUGAAAUUCGUAGAUAUCAAAGGGAACGCCGGUGGCGAAAGCGGGUCGCUGGGCUUGUCCUGACGCUGAGAUGCGAAAGCGUAGGUAGCGAACGGGAUUAGAUACCCCGGUAGUCUACGCCGUAAACGAUGCGCACUAGAUACGAGGAUCUCUGACGGUUUUCGUGUCGAAGCAAAAGUGUUAAGUGCGCCGCCUGGGGAGUACGGCCGCAAGGCUAAAACUCAAAGGAAUUGACGGGGGCUCACACAAGCGGUGGAGCAUGUGGAUUAAUUCGAAGCAACGCGAAGAACCUUACCUGGGUUUGACAUGCACGGAUGCCCUCUUGGAAACAGGAGUAAGCUGCCCUCGGGUGAAACGUGCACAGGUGCUGCAUGGCUGUCGUCAGCUCGUGCUGUGAAGUGUCGGGUUAAGUCCCUUAACGAGCGAAACCCUUGUCGCUAGUUGCCAGCGGGUCAUGCCGGGAACUCUAGCGAGACCGCCGGCGUUAAGCCGGAGGAAGGUGGGGAUGACGUCAAGUCCUCAUGGCCCUUAUGUCCAGGGUGUCACACGUGCUACAAUGGGAUGUACAGAGCGACGCGAGACCGCGAGGUGGAGCAAAUCGCAAAAAACAUUCCUCAGUUCGGAUUGGAGUCUGCAACUCGACUCCAUGAAGUUGGAAUCGCUAGUAAUCGCGUAUCAGCCAUGACGCGGUGAAUGUGUUCCUGAGCCUUGUACACACCGCCCGUCAAGUCAUGGAAGCUGGGAGCACCCGAAGUCCGCUUAGCUAACCUUACGGAGGCGGCGGCCGACGGUGAGUUCGGUGACUGGGACUAAGUCGUAACAAGGUAGCCGUAGGGGAACCUGCGGCUGGAUCACCUCCUUU
rnacentral:rRNA from 1 species